rnacentral:tRNA from 1 species
GGGUCGGUAGCUCAGCUGGUAGAGCAACAGCCUUUUAAGCUGAUGGUCGCGGGUUCGACCCCCGCCCGACCCACCA